rnacentral:rRNA from 1 species
UACGGAGGGAGCUAGCGUUGUUCGGAAUUACUGGGCGUAAAGCGCACGUAGGCGGCUUUGUAAGUUAGAGGUGAAAGCCUGGGGCUCAACUCCAGAAUUGCCUUUUAAGACUGCAUCGCUUGAAUCAUGGAGAGGCGGGUGGAAUUCCGAGUGUAGAGGUGAAAUUCGUAGAUAUUCGGAAGAACACCAGUGGCGAAGGCGGCCCGCUGGACAUGUAUUGACGCUGAGGUGCGAAAGCGUGGGGAGCAAACAGG